GAUGAACGCUAGCGGCAGGCUUAACACAUGCAAGUCGAGGGGUAUAGUUCUUCGGAACUAGAGACCGGCGCACGGGUGCGUAACACAUAUGCAAUCUACCUUUUGCAGAGGGAUAGCCCAGAGAAAUUUGGAUUAAUACCUCAUAGUAUGUGAGAAUGGCAUCAUUUUCACAUUAAAGUCACAACGGCAAAAGAUGAGCAUGCGUCCCAUUAGCUUGUUGGUAAGGUAACGGCUUACCAAGGCAACGAUGGGUAGGGGUCCUGAGAGGGAGAUCCCCCACACUGGUACUGAGACACGGACCAGACUCCUACGGGAGGCAGCAGUGAGGAAUAUUGGACAAUGGGCGCAAGCCUGAUCCAGCCAUGCCGCGUGCAGGGUGACGGUCCUAUGGAUUGUAAACUGCUUUUGUACAGGAAGAAACACUGGUUCGUGAACCAGCUUGACGGUACUGUAAGAAUAAGGAUCGGCUAACUCCGUGCCAGCAGCCGCCGUAACAC
rnacentral:rRNA from 1 species